rnacentral:rRNA from 1 species
GUGCCAGCAGCCGCGGUAAUACGUAGGGUGCAAGCGUUAAUCGGAAUUACUGGGCGUAAAGCGUGCGCAGGCGGUUUUGUAAGUCUGUCGUGAAAGCCCCGGGCUCAACCUGGGAAUUGCGAUGGAGACUGCAAGGCUUGAAUCUGGCAGAGGGGGGUAGAAUUCCACGUGUAGCAGUGAAAUGCGUAGAGAUGUGGAGGAACACCGAUGGCGAAGGCAGCCCCCUGGGUCAAGAUUGACGCUCAUGCACGAAAGCGUGGGGAGCAAACAGGAUUAGAUACCCUG